rnacentral:rRNA from 1 species
UACGUAGGGUGCGAGCGUUAAUCGGAAUUACUGGGCGUAAAGCGUGCGCAGGCGGUUCGUUGUGUCGGCGGUGAAAGCCCCGGGCUCAACCUGGGAAUGGCCGUUGAAACUGGCGAACUGGAGUGUGGCAGAGGGGGGUGGAAUUCCGCGUGUAGCAGUGAAAUGCGUAGAUAUCGUUUGGAACGCCAAUGGUGAAAACAGGUUGCUGGGAGUGUGCUGACGCUGAGACACGAAAGCCAGGGGAGCAAACGGG